rnacentral:rRNA from 1 species
AUGACAGUCUAUCAAGCCGCCGCGGGCAACGAGGGGAUCAGUCGAUCCAGCCGACACAGGCGAUUAGUCUGCUACAUAAUGGAGAAAGGAGGGAGAGGAUCCAACCGACGCAGGCGAUUCAUGCCGAUGCUUCGUCUGAUCAGAACUGCUCCAUCGAGAUUUCAAGAUGUGGUCAUUCUUCAGUUUCUGUUCUGA